rnacentral:lncRNA from 1 species
CUGGGAUAAGAGUGUAAAUAAAUGCACUGCUCUUUGCAUUUUCCCUCAGCAAAAGAUGGUGAAGCAAGCCAGGAAAGAAUUCAAAGUGUCAGCUUAUGUGCUCUCAAGAGACCCGUGGCGAAUACACUGGAGAGCAUUGCAGGGGAGAAAUAAUUCCCUGGCACCCGCCCCCCGCUUUCAUCAGGUAGGAAGGAUGGACUGCACCCAAGUUCCUGAGCACAGAAGGCAAUGCCAAUAUUCCAAAUCUGCAUUUCACGUCUACCGGAACCACCCACUCCAUUUGCUCAGGGAAUGUCAUGNAAAGGUAGGACACAAAAUGGUUCUGGUAUAGUUCUUUUAAUUCCCAGUUAGGCUGGUAAAACAGGAAUUUCAGCUCUCCAGUAGUUCUGAAGUUGUACACAGACCAUUACUGAGGGUUUGUAAAAUUUGAAAGUAGGCAUGCAAAGGGAAAAUGUUCUUCUAAGGAUUACAUAUUACAUCAUUUGUUUCUUGCUAUAACUUUAUUUUAAAAAGUCUGAGGGACUUUCCUUUCACAAUGGAGCCCAGCUAAUUUGUAGUAUUUUAGUAUUUAAAAACAGUAAGUGGUUGUCAAAAACAGUACUAAAUGUGGGUGGGAUAGGAAAACAUUCUACACUGUACUGUACGUUAAAAAAANCCAAAAACUUUCAAAGCACAGACUGAGUCAGUGAACAACCGCAAUGUAUUACUGUACCUUUUCCUUCAUCAUUUUCAGAACUAUCGAGUUCACUGUUCACACUAGCAACUAUUUUGGGGCACUGCUUCAUCAGCUGGAGCAACUUGUUUUCAUAGAUGGCCCUUGUAGAAGCUGAAACAGGUAAAAGGCAAAAGGUUUCAGUAUUGGCUUGUCUUAUUUCUAGGUGUUCUAAAACUGAUAGGGAAACAUGAUUUUACUAAAGUUUUG